GACGAACGCUGGCGGCGUGCUUAACACAUGCAAGUCGAACGGAAAGGCCCUGCUCUUGUGGCGUGCUCGAGUGCCGAACGGGUGUGUAUCACGUGAGUAACCUGCCCUUGACAUUGGGAUAACUUCACGGAACUGGGGCUCAUACCCGAUAGGAGAUCCUGCUGCAUGUUGGUGGUUGGUAAGUUUCGGCGGUUGUGGAUGGACUCGCGGCUUAUCCGCUUCUUGGUGUAGUAGGUAAUUACCAAGGCUUUGACGGAUAGCCGGCAUGGGAGGUGGACCGGCCACAUGGGGACUGAGAUACGGCCCAGACGGCUACGGGAGGCAGCAGGGGGGAGUAUUGCGGAAUGGCCGGGAGCGUGAUGUAGCAGCCCCGCGUGCGGGAUGACGGCCUUCGGGGUGUAAACCGCUUUCGCAGGUGACGAACCGUGAGUGACGGUAAUGGGUAAAGAAGCACCGGCUAACUACGUG
rnacentral:rRNA from 1 species